rnacentral:pre_miRNA from 1 species
GACUUCAACUGGAAAAUUCAUCUACAACAAAAUUGUAUAAUCCAUCUAGAUCUACAAUUUUUAAUUUGGUUAUUUAUUCAUCCGACAAAGUGAUUUUAACAUUGUUCAUAAAUUUUACAUACCUCCCACAUGAUUUUAUAAAUGAUAAGAGAGAUGUGUAAAUUUUAUGAACAGGGUUAUUAUUGCUUUGUCGGAUAAAGAAAUAACCAAAAUAAAAGUUAUAUAUAUUGAUGAGUUAUGCAACUUUGUUGUUGAUGACUUUUUUAUUUGAAAUC